UACGUAGGGUGCGAGCGUUGUCCGGAAUUAUUGGGCGUAAAGAGCUCGUAGGCGGUGUGUCGCGUCGACCGUGAAAACCUGGGGCUCAACUCUGGGCGUGCGGUCGAUACGGGCAUCACUGGAGUUCGGCAGGGGAGACUGGAAUUCCUGGUGUAGCGGUGAAAUGCGCAGAUAUCAGGAGGAACACCGGUGGACGAAGGCGGGUCUCUGGGCCGAUACUGACGCUGAGGAGCGAAAGCAUGGGUAGCGAACAGG
rnacentral:rRNA from 1 species